AUAAAAAAAUUGGUAUUCCAAACCUGGGAUAGUGGAACUUUCCACAGCUGAUGAAUAUCCAGCUUUCAGGCGAAAGCAGUUAUAAAUCUUCCUUUUGGUAGAUUUAUGGGAUACCUUCUAGGACUUGGAAAAUGUUGGCAAUCUCUUUGGCCCAAGGGCCCUGCUGGCUUGCAGAGUAUUGCAAAUGGCAGAGGGAGGCCUGAAGCAAAGCAAAGAAGUGAGAAGGACAGACUGGAUGAAGAAGUCAUGAGGCCAAGGAUGGAGAGGAGAGAAAGUGGUGCACCUGGGCAUGGGUCUCUUUCAAAAGAUGAGAAAACUGAGGGCUAAGGUCAUGCAACAUGGUUGUCUGUGACUCCAAAGUCCAUACUUGUUCAUGCAUACAGUGUGUCCUAGAAAUGGUCAAGCAUCCAGAACUGUUGCCCAGGUGGAGCCCAUUGUUCACCUCAGGCUCAAACCCCUGACACCAUGUGCAGCGAACUUUUAAGAAGUCGCCCGGGAUGAGGUGGGCUGCAGAGAAUGACUUCAGCCAUCCAUGUGACGGCCAUACGAAAAUGACAGAUGAGAACAUGGAGGAGAAACCACUUUCCUUUUGAAGGCACAACAUUUAGUCAGUAAGAAAGGGAUAAGAAGUAGGAAACGUUUCUGUAAAUAGUCAAUGGGCUGUUAUAAGUGGGCUGGAAACCAGUUGUCAUGGAAUCAAGGGUCCGGGGCUGCAAGGGAAUGCUGACGUUGCACAGUCUGGGGCUCCUCGUGGGGCGAGGACGCUGAGUGACAGGAUUGCCUCAGGAGACGGCCGGCUAGUCACGUUCAGCAGAGUCACGCGAGAGUGGGGUCGGCCACGGAAUCGGACCAGACACCUUGAGAAAAGUCUCUUCUAACGCCAGUCCCUCAGGGAAGAUGAAAGUGGAGGGAAGGAAAGCCGAAGCAAGAGAAAAGUAGGGGAGGGAGGAAGAGGAAAACGAAAAAGAAAAAAGUGAGAACCCAGUGACCAGAUAGAAGGCUUUACACUUUCAAAACCAGCCUCUUUAAAGCUCCUGAUUGAGAUAUUUAAAAUUAAAGAACAGGAUCAUGCAGUUCACCCACUGAAGGGAUCAUUAAGCUUUGAUAGAAACAUCUCUCUGUGUAUAAAUAAGUAGAUAAAUUUAAAAAAAUAGGAAUAAUUGAGAAUGUUGCUGAUAAGUUUGGGUUUGUGUCUUACUAACAUAUUCAUUUAUCAAAGUAUUUGUCACACUGAGGAGGUUUUCAGAGAUGGAGUAAAACACACCAGCCGGUGUCUUCAGACACUAACCGGGUUUACAUGCUUCCCACGUCCCUCCCUGUCUGAAUUUGUUCAGGCUGCUAUAACAGACUACUCUGCGCAGACUGGGUGGCCAUAAAUUGGGGAGGAAGUCCAAGAUCAAGGCACCGGCACAUGUGGUGUCUGGUGAGGCCUGAUUCCUGUUUUGUAGAUGGUGGUGCUGUAACCUCCCAAUGCAGAAGGGGCAAGAAAUCUUGCUGCAGUCUCUUUUAUAAGGGUGGAGCUGUAAUGACCUCAUCGCCUCCCAAAGGUCCCACUUCUAAUUACCAUCACAUUAGGGAUUACAUUUCAACAUAUGAAUUUUGGUAGGGGACACAAACAUUCAGUCCAUGUCUCCCAAGUGUACCCUGAUUAUCUUAGGGUCUGAUAACUAUGAAAGAAUGCGUGAAAUUGUAAAUUACUAGGCACACAUGAGGGAUAUAUUAUUGUUCUAAGGCUGUUUCAUAGCCUCAAUGGCAGGAAUAUAGAAAAUCAUUUCUGUUUUUCACAGGCAGAACCUGAUGUUCAGCGACAUAAGUGAUUCACCCAGAGCCACGGGAGAGGUGCAAACAGGCAGUGAUCGGGAGGUAACCAGGUGGUCCUGUCUUCCUUUCUUAGCUCUCCUGUUUAAGCUCAGUUUAGAAUUUAUUUUACUGCUGGAUCUCCGUAUUGUUUGAGUCCUUUGAGGAUGAUGUUGGGCCUGACCCCAGACCAAUUCAAUUAGAACUUGGGAUGGGAGCCCAGCGUCAGUUUUUAUGAAAGUCUUCUCAGGUGGUUCUGAUGAAUGAGGGGUGGAGAACCUCUGAUGUAAGCUGUCUUGAAUGAUUGGACUUUGAUUUUGUCCGAAGAGACAAACCAAGUAACAUUUGAGGGAGCUCUGAGGCUGGCCUGGGGCUCCCCUCCUUCUGUGAUGGUAACUGGCCCCAGCUGGCGCCAUUCCCCUUGACCCCUACACCAAAGGUCUGCAGGGGUUAAACAGGUUGAUGGAGAACCAGGCAGUCCCAAAUGGUAUACCUCUGGUGACAGGAAACCUAAGAGGGGAGUUGAACCAGGACAGGGGCUCCAUGUGGCCAAGAAUUGGCCCUGGUGCUUGGACAGAGGACCCUGGGGAUAAGACCGGACUGCUGGGGGACACAGAGCUACGGGGCAGGGGGUUGGUAAGAGGGAGGAUGUGGGGGAGCAGAGUUAAGGGGGUAAUAAGCAGGAAUAUCCUGGUGGGUAGAGAUGGAAAGGUGGCAGGGGGCUCAGGCCUCAUGUGCUGGUGGCCUGGACACAGUGGUCAAAAUUGUGCCAUAGCGGAGUCAGCCAUGUAGAGCUCAAGGUCAGUCCAUCAGGUCAGAGUUGGAACUCAACUCUGGGGCAGAAGAGCCACAGCAGUCGGGGUCUCAGAAGGAAGAUGCAAACACAGAGAAGCACAUGCAGGCUUGGAGAAGUGAGGGCCCUGUCCUCCUGCCGGUCUAAGCCGCACAAGGAGGGUCUUCCCUGCGGGCCCAAUUAGCCUGCCCCUAGCCGUAUAAUUAGUGGGAUGGUGCAGAAUGGAAGUGUGAGGGCCCUUGUUCAAAAAGCAGGGAAGAGUGAUGUUAAAAGUACAAAAAUAUAAAGCUUUUUCUUUUCUCCGAUUGUUUCUCUCACAACUUGUCAUGAUCAUUUAUUUUUAUUUUAAAAAUAUGUUAUGGGGCACCUGGGUGGCACAGCAAUUAAGCGUCUGCCUUCCGCUCAGGGCGUGAUCCCGGCG